rnacentral:tRNA from 2 species
CAAAAAGUAGCUUACAAAAAGCAUUCGACCUACAACCGAAAGACAUUACAUCAAUCUUUUUGA